rnacentral:rRNA from 1 species
AUUGAACGCUGGCGGCAUGCCUAACACAUGCAAGUCGAACGAGUGUCGGACGGGUGAGUAAUGUCUGGGAAACUGCCUGCUUGAUGGGGAUAACUACUGGAAACUGUAGCUAAUACCUCAUACCAUCAGAUGUUCCCUUAUGGGAGUAGCUUGUUUGUGGGGUAACGGCUCACCAAGGCUACCAUCCCUAGCUGGUCUGAGAGGAUGACAAGACACACGGGAACUGAGAAACGGUCCAGACUCCUACGGGAGGAAGAAGGGGGGAAGAUGGCAAUAUGGGAGCAAGCGUGAUGCAGCCAUGCCGCGUGUAUGAAUAAGGCCUUAGGGUUGUAAAGUACUUUCAGCGGGGAGGCGUUACCAGCAGAAGAAGCACCGGCUAACUCCGUGCCAGCAGCCGCGGUAAUUC